rnacentral:rRNA from 1 species
UACGUAGGGGGCAAGCGUUAUCCGGAAUUACUGGGUGUAAAGGGAGCGUAGACGGCUGUGCAAGUCUGGAGUGAAAGGCGGGGGCCCAACCCCCGGACUGCUUUGGAAACUGUAUAGCUGGAGUGCAGGAGAGGUAAGUGGAAUUCCUAGUGUAGCGGUGAAAUGCGUAGAUAUUAGGAAGAACACCGGAGGCGAAGGCGGUUUACUGGACUGCAACUGACACUGAGGCUCGAAAGCGUGGGGAGCAAACAGG